GUUGAGCACUGUGAUGGGGGGAAGUGGCUGACUGUGUGUCUCAUUGGCUGGCUGCUUCCUGAUGGGGCUGCAUCAAGUCUCCCAUUUCCACUUUGGCUAAGAGUUUAGCACCGGUUAGUAUGCUAAAGACAGCCACCAAGGAAGUGUAAAGUCCAAGAAGAAAUGUCCCAAGUAUCAACCACACAGACCAACACCUUCUCUUGGCCUUGGGAUUACAAAGAAAAGAGCACAGCCAAAUUGACAAGACAGUCAGGAAAUAGAUGGGCAAUGCUGUGUGAGGGGCACAGUGAUCGAAAUGUCAGCAUCUAAUAGAAGCUUGCAGGAAGAUGUUGUCAAGUUUAUCUUGUUCGGGCAUGGAGAUCUAAAGUGGAUUGUUACGAGAACAAUUUUUUUUUGUUAACGAAAAAAUUAAGCAAUUUUUUAUAUCAUGUGUACCACAUUUUUGAUGACAACGGUCUAUUAUUUAUACUGAUAACUAAGUAAAAGUCUAACUAUUCUGCUGGUUUCAUUGGCUGGUUUGGUUGU
rnacentral:lncRNA from 1 species